rnacentral:lncRNA from 1 species
ACAAUUGUAGAGGAGGAGAGACUCAUAAAGUGUUCUGACACAAAAAAGAGGAGGAUAGCUGUCUAGAAAGCGGGCGUUCGUAUUCAUUAUGCUCACGUUGAAUCCCAAUAUUUAUUAUUCAUAUGUUAAGUCGCAAUAAAUUCAUACGUUCAUAUCCAAAAAGUAUACGAGAUAAUGAAUAUAUGUUCGUAUCCGGUAAGCAUACGAGAGAAUAUUAAAAAAUAAAAUAAAAAUAAAAACUAUAAAUACCAUAACCACUCAUAACUUUCUCUUUCUAAUUUAAAAUUUUCAGAUUCAAGUUUUCUUGCACUUCUAUCUCUAAUUUGC